rnacentral:rRNA from 1 species
AAAUGAAUUGACGGGGGCCCGCACAAGCGGAGGAACAUGUGGUUUAAUUCGAUGAUACGCGAGGAACCUUACCCGGGCUUGAAUUGCAGACGACGGUGGCAGAGAUGCCAUUUCCCUUCGGGGCGUCUGUGAAGGUGCUGCAUGGUUGUCGUCAGCUCGUGCCGUGAGGUGUCGGCUUAAGUGCCAUAACGAGCGCAACCCCUCUCCAUAGUUGCCAUCAGUUAAUGCUGGGCACUCUGUGGACACUGCCACCGUAAGGUGUGAGGAAGGUGGGGAUGACGUCAAAUCAGCACGGCCCUUACGUCCGGGGCUACACACGUGUUACAAUGGCGCGUACAGAAGGCAGGCCGCCGGCAACGUCGGUCCAAUCUUUAAAUCGCGCCUCAGUUCGGACUGGAGUCUGUAACCCGACUCCACGAAGCUGGAUUCGCUAGUAAUCGCGCAUCAGCCAUGGCGCGGUGAAUACGUUCCCGGGCCUUGUACACACCGCCCGU